AGAGAGGAGCAAAAAAACUAAAAAAACAAGAAUUCAAAUCAUGUGGCUCGCAUUAUAUUUCUGGAAGCAAUGCUGCUCUGUACGUUUUGCUGUUUUAUUCAGGACCUGUCUCCUCACAACUACUAGGACAUCAGCUCUGGAAGACUGGGCUUUUGUUUCAUCUACCUCUAAGUCUCCAGUGCCCGCACGGUUCCUGGCUCAUGAUUCUACAAUGAGAGAAGCGAACACAGGAAACAGUCCAGGUUGGGCUCAAACUUUCAAUCCUCCUGCUUCAGCCUCCCCACAAGAGUUCCCUGAGUGGGCUGGAAUCAGGUAUCCACUACUUACCCCUGUGGAAAUCACCAUCACCAUACCUGGCAACCGAGAGGACAUGGUGAUGACAGAAUCAGAGAUCCUGUUCAGGACAAAGAUCAACAGACUCCUGGCCCGCCAACCUGUUGCUCCUCCAAAGCCUGUUUCACUACAGCUGGAUCCCCCAGCAAUGCAGCCCGGGCGUGAGGCCUUUUUGUAGAUGUAAGGAUCAAGAUCUUGGGGUGAGGUGGUUGCUGAUCACUCAGGUACCCUAAGAUCAUCGCAAGAUUCCUGACGCAAGACGCAGGAGGCCAUUUGACAUAGAAGAGGAAGGAAGAUGGUGAUGCGACCAAAAAAAGCAAAAGGAUUUGCAGGCCCUGUGCAGAUGUGUUCUGUUCUGUUUCUGCUUUUUUUUUUUUGUCUUUUUCCUUUUUAUUGGUACUGGGUAUCAAACUCAUGACUGCCUGCUUGCAAGGUAGGCGCUUAUGCCGCUGAGCUAAAUCCCCAGCCCCUGUUUCUGCUUUUUUAAAAAAAUUUUUUAAUCUUUUUGAGACAGGGUCUCACUAUGCAGUUCAGGCUGACCUUGAGCUCACUUUGUAACCCCAGACUGCUCUCAAACUCCCAAAGAUCCUCUUGUCUCAGCCUCCCAAAUGCUGGGAUUACAGGCAUGCCCCACCACGUCUAGUUUGUUUCUGUUUUGAGAGAAUGAAAUAAUACAGCUCAUUCUGGUCUUGUAGACUCCAAGGUCUUCCUGCCUCAGCCUUCCAAGUAGCUGGGGGACAAGAAUGAACACCAGGGCACCUGGCUUUAGUUUUUUAGCCUCUUUUGUUUUUGAUAUGGGAAAUCAAACCCAGGACCUCAUGCUGCCAGGCUGUAUCCCCAGCUCAGCCAUGUUUCUUGUCACUUUCCCUCUUGAAUUUUCUACUCCACUCAAAUCCAGCUGUGUGCUUCUUCACCAAGUAUGCAAACCUUUCUCACUUGCAGGCCUUUGACCUCUGUCCCCUCCUUCUUUCCUUUCCUUCACUGUUAAUUUGGCUCUGAGACAGGAGGAUCAUGGGGGCCUCAAGGCCACCCCUGCUACAUAGGGAGACCUUGUCUUAAAAACAAACUAAAUGAAACAAACAACAACAAAAAAAAAAAAACACCACAAAGAGGAACAGGGUCAUUUCACACGUGGCAGUAGAAGGGCUUCUCUGUUCUGUGGGCCUUGGCUCCCCACUACUCAGCCCAGCCUCCUCCUGGCCCCUCUCACCCCUUCCCGGAACUCCAAGGCCAUUUUCCCCAGUGGUGAAAUUGGAACCGGGUACCAGGCAAAGCCCUGCAGGAGGGAAACUGUCGGAAACCCGCUGUGCUUGCCUGGGCUGCCAGGGGGCGCGGCGGCCCCAGCCAAUCCUAAACUCAACCCAGGCUCCCCCCUGGCUGUGCUGCUCUGGCACUGCCCACCGUAGGCUCAAAGGAGGUGCUCGGUCCGGGUGGCUCCCUCCACACCCUGUCAGUCUGGGACCUUUAGUGAGGGUGGCGGUGAGCACCCUCAGAGCAGAAUAUGUCCACGUGGCCAAAUGGCCAGGGAUGCUUCUCCCUAGCCCUGGCUUGGAUUCCUAGGACCACAGCCAGGAAGAUGUAUGCCCCAACACCUGGUGGCGUGACACCUGAGGCCCAGCUGUGUGCCAUCCCCGGCCUCUGUUGCCCAGAGGUCUCAGAUCUCAAGACUGUGGUGGGGUCAGAGGUAAGACGCCCAGCUGGAGGAUUCAUUCCACGUCUGCCUGUGGGAGCCGGCGCCCUGCAAGAGGUCUCUCACCACAGGAUUCCUUUUUAAGGGUUUUUAAAUUUAUUUUAUUAGGGGCUGGGGAUUUAGCUCAGUGGCAUAAGCACUUACCUUUCAAGCAGGCAGUUGUGAGUUCGGUCCCUGGUACCGGUAAAAAUGAAAAAGACCAAAAAAAAAAAAAAAAAAAAAAAGAAGGCAAAACAAAUGCAACCACACCCUAAAUAUAAACAUCAGGGAUUGGUAGUCUAAAUACAUAUGGGUCACCUUGAGGAAGCCAGGAGUCGCCAUCUCAACCCCUUACACAAAGAGGCACUACCCUUUUAAGCCACGCCCACUUGCUAAGUGACUCUCUUCCCCCAUUUGUCCCCAAUUUAAUCAAUUUUACUUGAAUAGUUAAUCUUAGUUGACCAUAGUUCUGUCCCACCUCUUGCCUGUCUGCCUCUUGAGUUCCUCUGUUUUACCCACUUUGGACCCAUCUCACCUCAUGGUUUUGCUCUGUAGAAGUCCCUAGAAAAGACAGAGUCUUUGGCAACCUGCUCAGGACCCCCUCUGUCUCUCUUCAGACAGAAGCUUUCUAUCUCUCAAUACAUAUAUUCUGCUCUUAACCUCCAUUGUUCCUAAAAUUCAGCCUUCGAUUUUAGAAAACACGAAGUCAUACCGGACAUCGAGAUCAGGAGUUUCAUUCCUCUGUAUCACUAGGAUUACAAGCGUGCACCACCAUACCUGGCCUUUAUUUUAGGUUUUUUUUUUUGUUGUUGUUACGGGGAUCAAACUCAGGACCUUGUGCUUGCCAGGCAGACGCUUAUACGCUAAAUCCCCAGCCCUUUGUUUCAGUUUUGAGCCAAGUUCUUGCCAAGUUGUCCAACCCAUGUACGCAAGCAGCCCACUUGCUUCAGCUCUUCGUAGCCAGAGCUCCAAGAGGCUUUGUCUGUGAAAGUUCGUCCAGCGGGUCCCAAGUGGCACAGCCUUACCAUCUACUUGGGAGGAUCCAAAUUUUGAAGCCAGCCGGGUAAAUAAAAUAAAGUAGUACAAGCACAUGCCUGGUAAGUGCAAGGUCCUGAGUCUGUCUUUCUUUUUUUAAAUCAGUACCAGGGAUGAACUCACGACUGCCUGCCUACAAGGCAGGUGCUUAUGCUGCUGAGUUAAAUUCCCCAGCCCAAGGUCCUGUGUUUGAUUCCCAGUAGCAAAAUAAAAUGCCUGAAGUUCUACCAAAUAUUAGGAUGCACUUUAUUUUACUUUAGUUUUGUACAAUACACAUUCUUUAAUUUCUCCCUUCUUUGCAUUUUAGUCUACUUUAUUAUCUGUAUGAAGUUAUACAAGUAGUCGUAAAUAACUUAGAAUUACCGCAUUUGUAUUAAACUCAAAUGUUUCCUUUAUUUAUUUAUUUUUCUUGUUUCUUUUUUGACACCAGGAAUCGAACUCAGGGCCUUGCUCUUGCCAGGCAGGCGCUGUGCCACCGAGGUGCAUUCCUGGCCCUGUUUCUGAGCAUGUGGUUCACGGGAUUGUAAAACUGUUUUACUUUUUACCUUUGUCAGCUUGUAAUGAGAGGAUUCCCUUUUACCCUUUGUAGCAGACAAAGAGCACUGAUGUAUAUUAAACAUGUUCUCGAAGGUAUACAGAAAAUUAAAAAAGCCAAGAGUGAUGACACACCUUUGCUUGUAGUCGCUGCACUGGGGAGGCUGAGACAGGAGAAUCUCUGUGAGUUCAAUGUCAGCCUAGGCUACAUUGCAAGACUGUCUCAAAAAACUAAAAUAAAAAUGUCAGGGAUGUAGCUCAGCAGCACAGUGCCUGUCUGGCAAGUGUGAGAUUGUGAAUUCAAUUCCCAGCACACAUAAAAACCAAAAUAAAUAAAUAUAUACAUAUAUAUCAUUUUAAAAAAGGGCUGAAAAUAUAGUUCAGCAUUCACUGGCAGAAUCUGCCAUCCUGGGCUUCUAUUUCCUUCUAUUUCCCUGUUCCAUGGCUCAGUGAGCAAAUCAGUGGGUCCAAUCCCUAGUAGUGGGUGGUGGUCAUUACAGCUUUAUAGAACCUGGGCAGGGAAGGAGGGAGGGUUUUUUCUAUCUUCAGUACUAAAGAUAAGAACCUAGAGCCUCUCCUGUGCUAGGCAAGCAGUCUCCUUUUGAGCCCCAGCCUUGGCCUGGGGCUGAGACCUGGGGGCCUCGGUUAGAGCACGGUAUACCCAC